GCACUGGUAGUUCAGUGGUAGUACUCUCGCCUUCCAUGUGAGAGACCUGAGUUCAAUCCCCAGCUAAUGUA
rnacentral:tRNA from 1 species